AUGUCAUACUGGGAUGUAUGCUAUUCUCUAUAUGCAACAUUGGGAUGGAAGUGGUCUUAAUAGAACCAUUAAUUCUGAACGCAUGAGCCUUGAAAGAUUGAAAUUUGCAACUCAUAUGGUUCUUGAUAGCGAAAACGAAAUUGGUGAAAUGGUUACAGCCAAUAUUUGGUCAACCAACGAUGCAGAAUAGUAUUGGGAGGUCACUGAUAAGCUAAUUGAGGAGAAUGAAUUUGAUGCAGAUCAAAAGGAUGCAUUUAAGGUGAUCUGUAAUUGAUGAUAUGCAUGUAAUUGAUUGCUCUUGCAUGUAAUUAACCAUACCAUGAACUUAAAUUGUUUUGGUUGCUCAUAAUUUUGUCAAAGACAAUGUCCGAGAGGCAAAAAAAGCCAAUAGACAGGCUAGAGAAGCCUAGAAAAAGGCCUUGCAGAAAUGAGUUAAUAGACUAAAGCAGCAUUUGAAAACAUGAAGUUUAACAAGUUCUACUCAGUCCAGACCGAUGAUAAUCCUGGCAUAUCAAAUGUUAAGGCACCGUUUAUAAACAGGUAUUAUGGGAAAGCUCAUGAAGUUCUGUGAUUGGGCUCAUCAACCACCAGUAUUUCUAUUGCAAAAGAUGCCAAUUGGGUUG